rnacentral:rRNA from 1 species
AUUGAACGCUGGCGGCAGGCUUAACACAUGCAAGUCGAGCGGGGUGAUGGUGCUUGCACUAUCACUUAGCGGCGGACGGGUGAGUAAUGCUUAGGAAUCUGCCUAUUAGUGGGGACAACAUCUCGAAAGGGAUGCUAAUACCGCAUACGUCCUACGGGAGAAAGAAGGGGAUAACUUGUGACCUUGCGCUAAUAGAUGAGCCUAAGUCGGAUUAGCUAGUUGGUGGGGUAAAGGCCUACCAAGGCGACGAUCUGUAGCGGGUCUGAGAGGAUGAUCCGCCACACUGGGACUGAGACACGGCCCAGACUCCUACGGGAGGCAGCAGUGGGGAAUAUUGGACAAUGGGGGGAACCCUGGUCCAGCCAUGCCGCGUGUGUGAAGAAGGCCUUAUGGUUGUAAAGCACUUUAAGCGAGGAGGAGGCUCUUUUGGUUAAUACCCAAGAUGAGUGGACGUUACUCGCAGAAUAAGCACCGGCUAACUCUGUGCCAGCCGCCGCGGUAA